rnacentral:rRNA from 1 species
CCUACGGGAGGCAGCAGUGAGGAAUAUUGGUCAAUGGGCUUACGCCUGAACCAGCCAAGUCGCGUGAGGGAAGACUGCCCUAUGGGUUGUAAACCUCUUUUGUCAGGGAGCAAUUGGCGCUACGUGUAGCGUUAUCGAGAGUACCUGAAGAAAAAGCAUCGGCUAACUCCGUGCCAGCAGCCGCGGUAAUACGGAGGAUGCGAGCGUUAUCCGGAUUUAUUGGGUUUAAAGGGUGCGUAGGCGGAAUGCCAAGUCAGCGGUAAAGUCGCGGGGCUCAACCUCGCUCCGCCGUUGAAACUGGCGUUCUUGAGUGGGCGAGAAGUAUGCGGAAUGCGUGGUGUAGCGGGGAAAUGCAUAGAUAUCACGCAGAACUCCGAUUGCGAAGGCAGCAUACCGGCGCCCAACUGACGCUGAAGCACGAAAGCGUGGGUAUCGAACAGGAUUAGAGAUCCGAGUAGUC